GUCCCGCAACGAGCGCAACCCCUCGCAUUCAGUUUGCCAUCGGGUAAUGCCGGGCACUCUGGAAGGACUGCCAUCGACAAGAUGGAGGAAGUGGGGAUGACGUCAAGUCAUCAUGGCCCUUAUGUCCAGGGCGACACACGUGCUACAAUGGCCGGCACAACGGGAAGCGAGUUCGCGAGGACGAGCGGAUCCCUCAAAGCCGGUCGCAGUUCGGAUUGAAGUCUGCAACUCGACUUCAUGAAGCUGGAAUCGCUAGUAAUCGUGGAUCAGCCAAGCCGCGGUGAAUACGUUCCCGGGCCUU
rnacentral:rRNA from 1 species